GGAAUUUGGGGAAUUGUCCUUCCACUUCCGCGCCUAUGGAGACCUGAGCGAGGGGGAGCUCGACUCUGUCUGCCAAUUCCUGCUCCAGCGCGUGAAAUCCCGGGAAAAGGCCGCCCUGCGCCAGCUCCGGGCCUGUUUCCGGGCAUUCCAGAGGUGAGGAAAACCACCCCUUCCCGGGUUUUCCUGCCCCUGUUUUCUCUGGAAUGCUGGGAAAGGGCGGGAAGUUGAUGGGGUGGGAUCAGCGUGGCAUUCCAGAGGUGAGGAAAACCACCCCUAUGUCCCUGUUUUCCUGCCCUGAUUUCCCUGGAAUGCUGGGAAAGGGUGGGAAGGUGAUGGGGUGGGUUCAGCGUGGCAUUCCAGAGCUUGGAUCCCAACCCUCUGCAGGAGGAGGAGGAGGAGAGGAGGAGCUCCAGGCUCAAGGAUCUGAUCCGGGAAUACUUCGAGCAGGAUGGACUCGGAUCCCAGGAGGAGGAGGAGGAGCAGGAGGAGGAGGAGGAGGAGGAGCUGGGAAGGGCUCAGGAUCUGCGGGACUGGGAGAGCUGGGUCCGCUCUGACAUCCGAUGCUUCCUGUCCGUCCGCCCCGACGAGAAGUUCUCCGGGAGAGCCAUCGCCAGGAUAUUCCACGGGAUCAGCAGCCCCCGCUUCCCGGCACAGAUCUACGGGCGGGAUCGGCGCUUCUGGAGGAGGCACCUCCCCCUGGAUUUCCACUGGAUCGCCCGCCUGGCCACCCAGGAGAUCCUGGAUGCUGCCAGGUGAGGGGCAUUCCCGGGAAUGUCCUUCCCACACCCUCCCCCGGGAGCCUUUUUCCAGGGGCGUUUU